AAGCUAGGCUGCGGCGCUGGGAGCGGCGGAUCCCUCCGCCUGCCGGGAGGGAGGGAGGAAGGGACGAAGCGAGGCAAAGUAGGGAGGCGAGACCCAGAGGCCUUUAAAGGGAUCGGUCCGCUCCCACGGUGCCCCUCGGAGCACGCCGGCCGCCCGCCCGCCCGCCUGGCGCUGCUGCCACCGCGUGCUCCAGGAGGUCCUUUCCGGGGAGGCCGUGCGAGCUGCACGCACACUCUCAACACGCGCCACCUCGGCACCUCCUCGCGGCCCCGGGCCCCAGGAGAGUUGGGAGGGUGUGGUGAAUAUUUACGUGCCCUACAACAGGAGUGUGGGUGCCAUGCCUACUGGACAACUGACCCGUCAGGCUUCAGCAUCCCUGUUACUUCCAAGUCCUGCUGCUUUCUCCCAAGAGCGUAAGGAAAUGAUGGCAUCUGGCUUAGAUCUCAAAGAACCUUGCAGAACAGAAGGGCACUCACUCAGUUCUUCACACACCCCGAAUUUUUUUUUUUUUUUUUUUGAGACGGAGUCUUUCUUCGUCGCCCAGGCUGGAGUGCAGUGGCGCGAUCUUGGCUCACUGCAACUUCCGCCUCCCAGGUUCAAGCGAUUCUCCUGCCUCGCCUCCCCUCCCGCCUCCCGAAUAGCUGGGACGACAGGCGCACGCCCCCACGCCCGGCUAAUUUUUUGUGUUUUAGUGGAGAUGGGAUUUCACCGUGUUACCCAGGCUGGUCUCGAACUCCUGAGCUCAAGCAAUCCGCCCGCCUCGGCCUUCCAAAGUGCUAGGAUUACAGGCGUGAGCCACCGCGCCCAGACACACACCCUGAUUUCUGGCUGGAUCUGAUUUACCGGACAAAGACUCCAAUAUAUAGAGAGAGGCAACAUGUCAUUGUGGUUAGAAAUGUCAACUUUGCCGUCAAGCUGUCCUGGUUCAGAUCCUCACUCCACCAUUCAUUAGCUGUGAACACAGGCAUAUUAUUUAACUUUCCCCUACCUCAUGGUGACCAUGACUAGAGAUGGUGAUAAUAGUAGCUAACUCAGAAAUUUAGUGUGAAGAUUAAAUUAGUUCUUCUAAG
rnacentral:lncRNA from 1 species